rnacentral:misc_RNA from 1 species
UACGGAGGGCGCGAGCGUUGUCCGGAUUUAUUGGGUUUAAAGGGUGCGUAGGCGGCCCAUUAAGUCAGCGGUGAAAGCCCGGGGCUCAACCCCGGAACCGCCGUUGAUACUGGUGGGCUUGAGUAUGGACGAGGUUGGCGGAAUUGAGGGUGUAGCGGUGAAAUGCUUAGAUACCCUCAAGAACACCGAUUGCGUAGGCAGCUAACUAGGCUUUAACUGACGCUGAGGCACGAAAGCGUGGGGAGCGAACAGG